CACGUAGGCACCAAGCGUUUGUCCGGAUUUAUUUGGGCGUAAAGAGCUCGUAGGCGGUUCAGUAAGUCGGGGUGUGAAAACUUUUGGGCUUAACCCAAAAGCGUGCAUCCGAUACUGCUGUGACUUGAGUUCGGUAGGGGAGUGGGGAAUUCCUAGUGUAGCGGUGAAAUGCGCAGAUAUUAGGAGGAACACCGGUGGCGAAG
rnacentral:rRNA from 1 species